GCACACGGUGGCUUAGUGGUUAGAACGUUCGUCUCACAGAGUCGCCUCCAGUUUCGGGGGCUCGAUUCCCACUGUGUGCG